GCAGCCGCGGUAAUACGGAGGAUGCGAGCGUUAUCCGGAUUUAUUGGGUUUAAAGGGUGCGUAGGCGGUUUGUCAAGUCAGCGGUAAAAUUUCGGGGCUCAACCCCGUCGUGCCGUUGAAACUGACGGGCUGGAGUUGCAGCGGAGCAUGCGGAAUGCGCAGUGUAGCGGUGAAAUGCAUAGAUAUUGCGCAGAACUCCGAUCGCGAAGGCAGCGUGCUAGCUGCAAACUGACGCUGAGGCACGAAAGCGCGGGUAUCGAACAGGAUUAGAUACCCC
rnacentral:rRNA from 1 species